rnacentral:rRNA from 1 species
UACGUAGGGCGCAAGCGUUGUCCGGAAUUAUUGGGCGUAAAGAGCUCGUAGGCGGUCUGUCGCGUCUGCCGUGAAAGCCCGAGGCUUAACCUCGGGCUGGCGGUGGAUACGGGCAGACUAGAGGUAGGUAGGGGAGAAUGGAAUUCCCGGUGUAGCGGUGAAAUGCGCAGAUAUCGGGAGGAACACCGGUGGCGAAGGCGGUUCUCUGGGCCUUACCUGACGCUGAGGAGCGAAAGCGUGGGGAGCGAACAGG